UAUUCCCCCUUCUUCAAGAACGAUACCCCCAAAUCCCUAUUUCAUUCUUCUCCCUAUUUUCCCUCUCACAAAUUCCUACAAUGGAAUGGAUUAGCAGCGACGAUUCGCCACCACCAUGAAAAAUCUCGGUGACCACAACCUUCGCCGUUCACCAUCGCGAGGAAGAGCUCGACCUUAUUCUCUCUACCAGAGCAUCAUGUGGAAUGAACGUCACUCAUUCUGUUACUCCGCUAUACCCUCAUCGACCUCGACACUGCGCCAACAAAGCACGUUCUGCUUCCGACACAAACAAACCGGUAUUUCAGUUGACAAUACCUCCAAGCAUGGGAUAUGAACAAAAUCCGUUGAGUUUGUAUUAUUGCUACGAUGCUGAAGGUGAAAUUUGAGAUGAUAACGUAUAUGCAUUUCUGUUUUGCUACAGAGUUAUGGGGUAUCAGUUGAGGAUAUAUUUGAAGUUGAGGUGAGCGCUGGUCCCUCCUUUGACGAAAUCAAGAAGCUACCAAAUAAAGUCCUGCUAUUGUGUG